CGCUAGAAAGGAACCGAUCUCAUCUUCGGCAUUUCCACCA
rnacentral:tmRNA from 1 species